UUUCAGCGGCCAUUAAAAAAACCACAAUUAUUUUAAAAAAUGGCCACUGCACAUGCUCAAAUGGUCUCUGCGAGGCCCUAGAGGCCAGCAGUGGGAGGCACAACCUUUGCAUACCCCCCCCACAGCCUAUAGGAAGCACCCCAAAGGGGCUACAGGUUAAAAAAAUAAUAAUUUAAUAUAAGUCACUGUACACAUAUUCAGUUUGGCACUAUGUACAGAGAAUCAGGGCUUCUGAAUACUGAGCUGAAGCUUAUGAGCUAGGAUUGUAUUCAUUUGCUCUUACUUUGCUUCUUAUGAUAAGUGAGUUAAAUGUGGUGUCUUAAAAAUAUGGUUAUUAAUGGUGAGUUUGUCUUUGAAUUAGUGUGAAAUCCUUAGUAUUAAGGCCCACUGGGAGUUUCUUGCUCUCUUUCUCUCAUUUUAACUGUCUUUCUGAAAUACUAGAAUAUAUUCCAAGCAGUGACACAGUUUACUCUGCAUAUCCUUUCAUUAUUUUCAGAGUAUCUGGGAAAAGUCAAAUUCUCGAUUUAUUUUUAAAACUUAUGUAAUAGUGAUGUUAGUAGAUGCACAGUAGUGAAUUAGACAGGCACUUCUGUUUAGUUUUCCAAGUACACCUCCACAUAGUAUUUGGGUAUUUCAUGAGCCCCAGCAUAUUGAAAUUUGUAGUUUUCCAGCAUUUUUUGGUCUGGCUACGUCUACUGCUAAAUAGUUUUUGAAAUUUUAAAAGAUUAAUGAGCUUAACUUAUAUUUUUCAGCUGAUAUUAUAGUAAAGUUAUCUGAAAGAUGGGUGUCAGAUGUUUGGACAAGGGGCGCAAUUUCAGUGCCUCCCCUAGGCGCUAUUUUCCCUAGAUACGCCUCUGUUCAUCAACCAUCACUCGAACAGGUCUUCGGAAUUUUUCCUUGCUUUACUUAUUGGAUGGGGGAUCCUGUGGUUUCUCCAUUGUCAUGGACGGACCCUACCUGGUUAAGGCUGGUUUCACAGCCACAACCCAGCCCUGCAGGUGUGGUGGACCUAUUAAGAUGGUUUGCCCGAGAAGCCUACUGGACCCAGUAGGAUACCAAAAGACUUUGGAGGAUUUUAAUGCUGGUGAUGCCAGUGAUUCUGUCAAUGUGGGAAACUGAAAUAGGGAGCUCACCAGGGCAGUUCCUAAACAGUUCCUAAAGAUUUUAAUGAAUGUUUUCCCUAUUGUUCCUAUGCUGUUGCCUUCAUGGGACUUACAACUUAAGUUGACUCAGUAGAUGAAAAAUCUGUUCGAAUGCUAGCCUCGGUAACUUAAAACUACUUAUCCUCAAAAUCAUGUUUCUCAUUGCCUUAGAAAGAAGGGUUUGUGAGCAGAAUGCCCUGAGAUGUGACUCUCUGUACCUUAUAUUUCACAAGAAGAGGAAUGUAUUGAGACCAGACAUCACUUCUCUUCCCAAAGUCAUCUCAAGCUUCCACCUGACUCAGGCAGCAAGAUUUAGCAGACAGGAGCAAGGGAUAUGAAGUCUUUUCCUUUCUGUUUAUUUCCUACUUUAUUCUAGAUGAGCUUAUAUCCUCAAUUCACUUUUGCACUUAUCUUCACUUUAAUUUAUGAAUUAGUGUGCAUUCCAUCCUGAAGAGCUGGAAAAAAACAUGUAUGAUACUAUAAUUGGCAUACUGUUACAUUUCUCUUUUUAUGGUUGGUUGGUUUUUUAUGAUUGGUUGUUUUUUGUUUUAACUGACUGUAAUGUUUUAAAUGUGAUUUUUAUGGACUUUUAAGGUAUUUUAAUGUUUGUAAACUGCCUUGGGAUACAUUUUAUGAAAGGUGGUGUAGAAAUUGAAGAAAUUGAACUAUAAAUAAAAAUAUAAAUAAAUACAA